AACUUUUAACAAUGGAUCUCUUGGUUCUCGCAUCGAUGAAGAACGUAGCAAAGUGCGAUAACUAGUGUGAAUUGCAUAUUCAGUGAAUCAUCGAGUCUUUGAACGCAACUUGCACUCAUUGGUAUUCCAAUGAGUACGCCUGUUUCAGUAUCAAAAACAACCCACAUUCAAACUUUUUUGUUAGAAUGGAGCUUGAGAGUAUCUCUCGCAGGACACUCUUAAAAUGGACUAAGGCCUGAAUUUGUUUAAGCCUAAGCUUUUUUUUAAUAUAAAGAAAAGUUUAUGGAUCUAAACUUUGUUUGGGGCCUCCCAAAGAAAACAAUUUUAAAUCUUGAUCUGAAAUCAGGUGGGAUUACCCGCUGAACUUAAGCAUAUCAAUAAGCGGAGGAAAAGAAAAUAACAAUGAUUUCCCUAGUAACGGCGAGUGAAGAGGAAAGAGCUCAAAGUUGGAACCUGUUUGGCUUAGCUAAACCGGAUUGUAAACUGUAGAAACGUUUUCCUGGCACGCCAGAUAAAUAAGUCCUUUGGAACAGGGCAUCAUAGAGGGUGAGAAUCCCGUCUUUGGUCUGAGCUGUUGUCUUUUGUGAUACGUUUUCAAAGAGUCAGGUUGUUUGGGAAUGCAGCCUAAAUUGGGUGGUAAAUCUCACCUAAAGCUAAAUAUUUGCGAGAGACCGAUAGCGAACAAGUACCGUGAGGGAAAGAUGAAAAGAACUUUGAAAAGAGAGUUAAACAGUAUGUGAAAUUGUUAAAAGGGAACCGUUUGGAGCCAGACUGGCUUUGUCGUGAUCAAUCUGGGUUUCGACCUUGAUGCACUGACGACAGACGCCUGCCAUCGACAGUUUUGUUUGGAGGAAAAAACUAUAGGUAAUGUGGCCUUUCGGGGUGUUAUAGACCUGUAGAAAAUACUCCGGAUGGGACUGAGGAACGCAGUGGAUGCCUUUGGCGAAAUUGCUAGGCGCUUUUGUUGAUACAUGCUGGAAUUUCUGCUUCGGGUGGUGCCAGUGUCUAAAGAUAAAACUCGCUUGGUAUAUUUUCUAUCCACUUAGGUUGAUGGCUUAAUGACUCUAAAUG
rnacentral:misc_RNA from 1 species